rnacentral:rRNA from 1 species
GACGAACGCUGGCGGCGUGCUUAACACAUGCAAGUCGAACGCUGAAGCUUGGUGCUUGCACUGGGUGGAUGAGUGGCGAACGGGUGAGUAAUACGUGAGUAACCUGCCCUUGACUCUGGGAUAAGCCUGGGAAACUGGGUCUAAUACUGGAUACGACAUGUCACCGCAUGGUGGUGUGUGGAAAGGGUUUUACUGGUUUUGGAUGGGCUCACGGCCUAUCAGCUUGUUGGUGGGGUAAUGGCUCACCAAGGCGACGACGGGUAGCCGGCCUGGGAGGGUGACCGGCCACACUGGGACUGAGAAACGGCCCAGACUCCUACGGGAGGCAGCAGUGGGGAAUAUUGCACAAUGGGCGGAAGCCGGAUGCAGCGACGCCGCGUGAGGGAUGACGGCCUUCGGGUUGUAAACCUCUUUCAGCACGGAAGAAGCGAAAGUGACGGUACGGGCAGAAGAAGCGCCGGCUAACUACGU